GACGAACGCUGGCGGCAGGCCUAACACAUGCAAGUCGAACGAGCGGCGGACGGGGGAGGAAUGUCUGGGAAACCGCCUGAUAGAGGGGGAUAACUACGGGAUAAGGUAGCUAAUACCGUAUACCAUCAGAUAUGCCCAGUUGGGAUUAGCUAGUAGGUGAGGUAACGGCCCACUUAGGCGACGACCCCUAGCCGGUCGGAGAGGAUGACCAGCCACACUGGACCUGAGACACGGUACAGAAUCCUCCGGGAGGCAGCAGGGGGGAAUAUUGCACAAUGGGCGCAAGUCUGAUGCAGCCAUGCCGCGAGAAUGAAGAAGGCCUUCGGGUUGUAAAAUACUUUCAGCGGGGAGGCGUUACCCGAAGAAGAAGCACCGGCUAACUACGGGCCAGCCGCCGCGGUAAUUC
rnacentral:rRNA from 1 species